UACGUAGGUGGCAAGCGUUGUCCGGAAUUAUUGGGCGUAAAGCGCGCGCAGGCGGUCCUUUAAGUCUGAUGUGAAAGCCCACGGCUCAACCGUGGAGGGUCAUUGGAAACUGGGGGACUUGAGUGCAGGAGAGAAGAGUGGAAUUCCACGUGUAGCGGUGAAAUGCGUAGAGAUGUGGAGGAACACCAGUGGCGAAGGCGACGCUCUGGGCCGGAACUGACGCUGAGGAGCGAAAGCGUGGGUAGCAAACAGG
rnacentral:rRNA from 1 species